rnacentral:rRNA from 2 species
AAUGCUGACAUAAGUAACGAUAAAGCGGGUGAAAAGCCCGCUCGCCGGAAGACCAAGGGUUCCUGUCCAACGUUAAUCGGGGCAGGGUGAGUCGACCCCUAAGGCGAGGCCGAAAGGCGUAGUCGAUGGGAAACGGGUUAAUAUUCCCGUACUUGGUGUUACUGCGAAGGGGGGACGGAGAAGGCUAUGUUGGCCGGGCGACGGUU